rnacentral:rRNA from 1 species
UGGGGAAUUUUGCACAAUGGGGGAAACCCUGAUGCAGCGACGCCGCGUGAUUUAGAAGGCCUUCGGGUUGUAAAAAUCUUUUCUAUGGGAAGAAAAUGACAGUACCAUAGGAAUAAGGACCGGCUAAUUACGUGCCAGCAGCCGCGGUAAUACGUAAGGUCCGAGCGUUGUCCGGAAUCAUUGGGCGUAAAGGGUACGUAGGCGGGUAAGCAAGUUAGAAGUGAAAUCCUGUAGCUCAACUACAGUAAGCUUUUAAAACUGCUCAUCUUGAGAUAUGGAAGGGAAAGUGGAAUUCCUAGUGUAGCGGUGAAAUGCGCAGAUAUUAGGAGGAAUACCGGUGGCGAAGGCGACUUGCUGGACUUCAACUGACGCUGAGGAACGAAAGCGUGGGUAGCAAACAGG